CACCUCCUCCUUUCAGCCUGGUGUGCAGCAGCAUCUGGACACCCUUAGAGGGGGAAGCAGCGGAUGCAGAGCCACAGCUGGUGCUCAACACGGGGCACAACCAGCUGACAUAACCCACAGCUGGUACCCACGGGAAUCCAACAGGACCUCUGGGUUGAGCAAAAAGGGGGAGUCAACUCAUGGAUUCAGAUACUCUGAAAGGACAUCUGACCUGAUGCCUCCAGUCCAGAGCCACUCUCUGGUGUUAAUGAAAGGAAAUAAAACUUGAGACAUGUGAUUCAUGUAAUUUAUGUCAAAUAGCCCAAAGAGUUGCUUGUGAGCUUUAAAACCUGGGGCUGAGAACAUAGCAGAACAGGCCAGGACAUGCCAGGCAGGCUCAUCAUUACAUGUCCUGACUGACCUAGUGCCUCCCUAUCUCCCGCCCUUCUGACAGUCUGUUGAUGUUUAAAUGAACCAAUCAUGUGAAACGGCGCCAAUUCCUCCCCUAGCCCCACCCCUUUUCUAUAAAAACCCCUAGCUUCCAAGCCUCGUGGUAAGCCUCGUGGUGGAAACCACUGUCUCCUGUGUGAGAUAUGUUUUGAACUGGAGCUCCGCCAUUAUGGCUCCACCAUGUGGUCAACACCUCUGUCUCCUGCUGGAGAUAUGUGUCAGCCCGGAACUCCGUCAUAAAGUACCUCAUGCUUUUACGUCAAGAUGGUCGUCUGUUCGUGAUUCUUGGGUGCGCGCUGAACGGAAAUUGAGUGGGGGUUUCCCCACUAGGUUCUUUUUUUUUUUUAAGAUUUUAUUUAUUAUUUAUUAUAUGUAAGUACACUGUAGCUGUCUUCAGACACUCCAGAAGGAGUCAGAUCUCGUUACAGAUGGUUGUGAGCCACCAUGUGGUUGCUGGGAUUUGAACUCUGGACCUUCGGAAGAGCAGUCGGGUGCUCUUACCCACUGAGCCAUCUCACCAGCCCCCCCCCCACUAGGUUCUUUCAUUAGCAGAACGUCCCUAAACCUCUGAAACCUGACAGUCCACAAGAGCAAAGACCCCCUCUCUAAUUUCUCCUUGAAACAAACAAACAAACAAAUGGUUACUCAGUGACCUUUUAAAUACCAUCUAGGAAAAUUUGUGAGAAAGCUUAACAUUUUGGACCUCUGUGGAAUCCUCUGGAGCAGAACGGCUGCAGGAACAUUCCAGUGGGAUAAGGUGUCUCUUUCCUUUUCUAUGAUGGGGAACACCUCAUCACACAAAAAGCACAUUUAAAAAAAAUUUUAAAAAAAAAUGCAGGUCCUAUUAAAGUCCCCCAUAAAAAACUCACCAAGGGCUGGUGAGAUGGCUAAGUGGGUAAGAGCACCCGACUGCUCUUCCGAAGGUCCAGAGUUCAAAUCCCAGCAACCACAUGGUGGCUCACAACCACCUGUAACAA
rnacentral:lncRNA from 1 species